UGACCUCGGAUCAGGUAGGAAUACCCGCUGAACUUAAGCAUAUAU
rnacentral:rRNA from 1 species